rnacentral:rRNA from 1 species
UACUGAGGUGGCAAGCGUUGUUCGGAUUUAUUGGGCGUAAAGGGUCCGUAGGCGGUCCGUAAAGUCAGAUGUGAAAGCCCACAGCUCAACUGUGGAACUGCAUUUGAAACUCACGGACUAGAGUAUGAGAGGGGUUAAGGGAAUUCCCGGUGUAAGGGUGAAAUCUGCAGAGAUCGGGAGGAACACCAGUCGCGAAGGCGCUUAACUGGCUCAUUACUGACGCUCAGGGACGAAAGCUAGGGGAGCAAACGGG